rnacentral:rRNA from 1 species
UGAGGAAUAUUGGUCAAUGGGCGCGAGCCUGAACCAGCCAAGUCGCGUGAGGGAGGACGGCCCUACGGGUUAGUAAACCUCUUUUGCCGGGGAGCAACGGGCGUCACGUGUGGCGCCACUGAGAGUACCCGGAGAAAAAGCAUCGGCUAACUCCGUGCC